rnacentral:rRNA from 1 species
UACGUAGGGGGCAAGCGUUAUCCGGAUUUACUGGGUGUAAAGGGGGCGCAGACGGCGAUGCAAGCCAGGAGUGAAAGCCCGGGGCCCAACCCCGGGACUGCUCUUGGAACUGCGUGGCUGGAGUGCAGAAGGGGCAGGCGGAAUUCCUGGUGUAGCGGUGAAAUGCGUAGAUAUCAGGAGGAACACCGGUGGCGAAGGCGGCCUGCUGGACUGCAACUGACGUUGAGGCCCGAAAGCGUGGGGAGCAAACAGG